rnacentral:pre_miRNA from 1 species
UCGGCAUCAUGCAUUAUUUCAGGCAGUAUACUGGUAAAGGGUUUUAUUUGCACCAUUCUUACCUGUUGCUACCUGAAAUUAAUGCAAGAUGUGUG